rnacentral:rRNA from 1 species
AGCAGCCGCGGUAAUUCCAGCUCCAAUAGCGUAUAUUAAAGUUGUUGCAGUUAAAAAGCUCGUAGUUGAAUUUCGAGAUCAAUUAAUUGGUCGUGCCUCUGGUACGUACUGAUUUUAUUGGUUUCUCCCUUCUGACGAACCAUGAUGUCAUUAAUUUGAUGUCGUGGAGAAUCAGGACUGUUACUUUGAAAAAAUUAGAGUGUUUAAAGCAAGCUAACGCUUGAAUACAUUAGCAUGGAAUAAUGAAAUAGGACGUUUGAUCCUAUUUUGUUGGUUUCUAGGAUCGACGUAAUGAUUAAUAGGGAUAGUUGGGGGCAUUAGUAUUCAAUUGUCAGAGGUGAAAUUCUUGGAUUUAUUGAAGACUAACUACUGCGAAAGCAUUUGCCAAGGAUGUUUUCAUUAAUCAAGAACGAAAGUUAGGGGAUCGAAGACGAUCAGAUACCGUCGUAGUCUUAACCAUAAACUAUGCC